GUUCGCCCCAUUCCCUUUGGCCAACAGAUAUGUCUGUACCUCAGAUAGUGUUCAGGUCACCAUCUCCACUGAUGGAUUCCCCAAAAGUACCCCAAAAGUACCCCCAUCAUAACUAGGAACCCCUCAAAAGUUACAUCACCGGAUAACUCUGAUCUGAAUCUGGCCAAGUAUCAGUGUUUGGUAGAAUUGGAUUGCCACCAGGGUAAAGAUUGCCUGACACGAGGGGAUAGCCCAAAACAGAUAUAAACAAAAGAAACAAUGAGCCAAUAUAUAGCAAUUAGAUA